rnacentral:lncRNA from 1 species
AAGCUGACAACCUCUAUGUACCUGCAGAAUCCAAAUUGGUAUAUGUCAUUAGGACCAGAGGUGUCAAUGUUGUUAUCUCAAAGCUCUGUAAGGUGUUGCAGCUUCUUCACCUAUACCAGAUCUUCAGUGGCACUUUUGUGCCUCUCAGCAUGCUGAGGGUUGUGGAACUAUAUAUUGCAUGGGCCUCUCCAAACCUAAAGUCAAUAAAUGGAGUAACUGCAAGUGUGGUUAUGGCAAAAUCAAUAAGAAGCAAAUGACCCUGAAAGAUAACUCAUCAAUUGCUCAAUCUCUUGAUUUUUGUAAGCAUGAUAAACACAUAUAUGGAGAAGAAGUAGAAAACUUUGAGAGCCAUUGGUGGACCAAUUGGUUUCCAGACAAAUUGUUCAUUGAAAUGACCUAACAGGUCCAUGACUGCAUUUCUUGGCAAGAUAAUAACAAAGCAGAAAGAAGAUUCAUUUUAAUAUAGCCACAAUAAAAGGCUGGAAAGUCUCUUUUCCUCUGAGGACAGAUGCCUGAAAGCAAAAAUUGUCCUGAAAUAAUCUCUCAAAGAAAUCCAAGAUACGGCUGCUUUGGCUACGAAAGAGUACUUCAGAGCUUUACAAAUGUGAAAGUUUAAAACACUAGAG